rnacentral:lncRNA from 1 species
UGUGCACCACCCUCUCACCCAAACGAAGGCAGCUGGCCCUGAAGUUCUCUGAGCUUGAGGACAAAAAAAGACCUCUGUGAGUUGUCAGGCUCUGUUACAGUCUGGGUCAGCAGACAAGAGUCCCAGGGCUCGGCCGUCUUCUCUAGGAGAGAAAAUAUUCGUGCCAUAUAGCGUGUUCUAAGAGUUCUCACCAGAAGCCCAGAAAGUUCUGUAUUUACUCAGCAUUCAAGGGAAAACAGACCCUGUAUUUUUGGGAUUCCUGAAAGGUGACCAGGUGAGAGCAAAGCCCAACUUCCUGGGGAAAAGCUCUCAGCGCAGUGAAUGCUACAUUCGGAGGUAGGAAGGCUCUGGAUGUGAGUCUUCAUGUUUGUUUUUUGUUUUUUGUUUUUUUUUCUCUAAAAUUACCAAAAAAGAGGAAUAUCCACAGAAGCAGAAGUAGGAAUGGGGAAGGAGGGGACAAGUUUAGACCAAGCUCUUCUGUGACCUCACUUCUGCUUUUGAAGUCCCACAGCUCUAUAAGGCCAGGGUCAAAGGAACCUAAUGUGAAAAUGUUUCAGUCUUUUGAUGAAGUAUUCCAGAACACAGAACUCCUUAUCAUACAGAACAUCAAGUUCCUUUAAGAUAUGGGUUGCUAUCUCCAAUUCAUUUUGGGAAGAGGCUACCUUCAUCCCCAAACAGGAACUGCUGCAAGGCCCGCAGCAGCCAUGGGUGAGUGGCUCUGGAGAUGGGGUAAGUGGCCUACGCACCCCAGAGGAACAGCUGGCAGCCUAGUCUUCGGGCAGCAGCUCCACUCAGCCCUGGGGAAUGACAGAUACAGGUGUGUUCCCUCAGGUGCAUAUGUGCAUGUGCUUGUGUGCAACUUCCUCCUCUGCUCUCAUUCCUGCAAGGUGCAUUCUCAGAAGGCUGUUACUCCACAGUCACUACGGUUGUGAAGCGGAACCAGACAACUUCCCAUUUUCGAGGUUCUACAAUUGGCAAUAUGGGAAAAUCUUACCCCAUUACCACCCAACUCGAUUCUUUCAAUGCAAGCUUGUCUAACCCAUAGCCUGCAGGCCACAUGUGACCCAGGAUGACUUUGGAUGUGGCCCAGUGCAAAUUCGUAAACUUUCUUAAAAUAUUAUAAGAUUGUUUUGCAAUACAUCAGUAUCGUUAGCGUUAGUGUAUUUUAUAUGUGGCCCAAGACAAUUCUUCUUCUGAUGUGGCCGAGGGAAGCCAAAAGAUUGGAUACUCCUGCGUAAGGGGGAAAUGCAUGUUUAUAGUCAUAUAUAUAUAUUUUUUUUUUCUAAUUUUUUUUUUGCACCCAGUGCAGUGGCACAAUCAUA